rnacentral:rRNA from 1 species
CCUACGGGCGACAGCAGUGGGGAAUAUUGCACAAUGGGGGAAACCCUGAUGCAGCGACGCCGCGUGAGUGAAGAAGUAAUUCGUUAUGUAAAGCUCUAUCAGCAGGGAAGAAAAUGACGGUACCUGAGUAAGAAGCCCCGUCUAACUACGUGCCAGCAGCCGCGGUAAUACGUAGGGGGCAAGCGUUAUCCGGAUUUACUGGGUGGAAAGGGAGCGUAGACGGCAGUGCAAGUCUGGAGUGAAAGGCGGGGGCUCAACCCCCGGACUGCUCUGGAAACUGUACGGCUGGAGUGCAGGAGAGGUAAGUGGAAUUCCUAGUGUAGCGGUGAAAUGCGUAGAUAUUAGGAGGAACACCAGUGGCGAAGGCGGCUUACUGGACUGUAACUGACGUUGAGGCUCGAAAGCGUGGGGAGCAAACAGGAUUAGAUACCCCAGUAGUC